rnacentral:rRNA from 1 species
ACGGAAGGCAGCAGUGGGGAAUAUUGCACAAUGGGGGAAACCCUGAUGCAGCGACGCCGCGUGAGUGAAGAAGUAUUUCGGUAUGUAAAGCUCUAUCAGCAGGAAAGAAAAUGACGGUACCUGACUAAGAAGCCCCGGCUAACUACGUGCCAGCAGCCGCGGUAAUACGUAGGGGGCAAGCGUUAUCCGGAUUUACUGGGUGUAAAGGGAGCGUAGACGGCUUUGCAAGUCUGAAGUGAAAGCCCGGGGCUCGACCCCGGAACUGCUUUGGAAACUGUAGAGCUGGAGUGCAGGAGAGGUAAGUGGAAUUCCUAGUGUAGCGGUGAAAUGCGUAGAUAUUAGGAGGAACACCAGUGGCGAAGGCGGCUUACUGGACUGUAACUGACGUUGAGGCUCGAAGGCGUGGGGAGCAAACAGGAUUAGAUACCCUGGUA